GGGAAAGCAAGAGGAGAGGAGUAAUUAAGGAUUUAGUGUGAUCCUCUUGAAACAGCUGGAGAGGCUUUAGGAGACCAGAUUACAUGCACAUUGGUUGGUAUUAUUACCCCUGGAAUCAAAAAGAAUAUGAAAAAUGAAGAGUGGGCUAACAUUUUAAAAUGAUGGGGCAAUGGGUUGCCAGAAAGGUACUUCCAGGAUGUCUUGAAACCUAUUUGGAAGAAAGUCACCAAUCAGAUGAAGGGGCUUGUGAAGUGAUAUUUGAUGGGAAUGGAAGAAAAGUACUGGAGAGGGGUGGCUGAGGAACGAGAGAUCAAGGGAUAUGCUGCUAAAACACUCAAGAAGCAAAUGGAGGUUUCUCUGUGCCUCCCAGGAGAGACGAGGAGGAGAUGCAGGGAUAAUGUUCACAGGAGCCAUUAGAGAGCCACAGCAGCAAGAGCCGCCAUUGGCUCCAUCUUGGAAAGCCCCCAGCUUUCCUGCAAAAAGAACGCUGGAUCCCCCUGGAACCUGGAAGUUUCUAACCCUUUCAGGAGCUGCAGCAUUAUCUAAGCAAAACUAUGUCUGCCCAGGGGAGAGAGGAACAAUGUGGCAAAGCAUCUCUCUGAAGUAUUUAAUGCAAUUUGUCCUUCCAACAACUCAAUCGCUACCUCCACUGAGAAGGGAAGAGACACCUCUUAAAGAUCUGCAGCGGUGGCUCAUGAGAUGGUGGCUGCUGUCUUUUAUACUAGAACACACAGGGAGAGCAGAAGGAGCAUUCCCAAGUGGCUAGACCUAUAUAAAGGAACAGGACACAAUUGAAUCCAGUGCCAGCUCAGAUAUGACCAGCUGUGCUUCCAGCAACCACAGGUGUCUUGGUCCUCAAUGACCAAGUCAACAUGUACAUAACUCCUUUCAUCUAGGUGCUUGUGUAGUUGAAGAGCUGGGAAAAGUCUGCCUCAAGUCGUUCUGUGGAGAGGGUGCCAAGAGAAGAGAUCCUUGCCUAAGUGUGUGGUUAUAAUGUGUAGCAGGAUGAUAUUUCACAAUCUCUGACUAUGGGGAUUUUUUUUUAACCUUAUGGGAGGCUAUUCUGUUUAAUUUAUUCUACUUCUUUUUGACUCACCCUCCCUCAACAGAUCUGGAAGUGACUCUGAAAGUUAUCUUAUUUUUUUUUCUUAAAUUAAAAAUUGAAAGUUAUUGUUUAUUAUUGGGUAGGCCCUGUUCUCUUAUUUUUUUUUUUUCUGUUCUCCCAUGAGUCAGUAAAGACCCCAACCUUUGAUCAAACAGAUAAAAAAUUGACCAAGCUGCAUACUGGGAAGUUUAGUUGUUUUGAUUUACUGUAUUUAUUUUGUAAGGCUCCUUGAUAUCUGUUUUUUUAUAAUAGUCUAGGGAACCAAAAUAAUACUCCUUGAAUAAAUGCAAGCAAAAC
rnacentral:lncRNA from 1 species